GAUUAUGGCUCAGGAUGAACGCUAGCUACAGGCUUAACACAUGCAAGUCGAGGGGCAUCAUGGAGUUGCUGCAAACUCUGAUGGCGACCGGCGCACGGGUGAGUAACGCGUAUCCAACCUUCCCUAUAGUAGAGGAUAGCCCGGCGAAAGUCGGAUUAAUACUCUAUGUUUUCCGUUGCAGACAUCUAAGAUGGAACAAAGGCUUGCCGCUAUAGGAUGGGGAUGCGUCUGAUUAGGUAGUCGGCGGGGUAACGGCCCACCGGGCCAUCGAUCAGUAGGGGUUCUGAGAGGAAGGUCCCCCACAUUGGAACUGAGACACGGUCCAAACUCCUACGGGAGGCAGCAGUGAGGAAUAUUGGUCAAUGGGCGAGAGCCUGAACCAGCCAAGUAGCCGUGCAGGACGACGGCCCUAUGGGUUGUAAACUGCUUUUAUGCGGGGAUAAAGUUCACUACGUGUAGUGUUUUGUAGGUACCGCAUGAAUAAGGACCGGCUAAUUCCGUGCCAGCCGCGGC
rnacentral:rRNA from 1 species